AGUGAACGCUGGCGGUAGGCCUGACACAUGCAAGUCGAACGGCAGCACAGUAAGAGCUUGCUCUUACGGGUGGCGAGUGGCGGACGGGUGAGGAAUACAUCGGAAUCUACUUUUUCGUGGGGGAUAACGUAGGGAAACUUACGCUAAUACCGCAUACGACCUACGGGUGAAAGCAGGGGAUCUUCGGACCUUACGCGAUUGAAUGAGCCGAUGUCGGAUUAGCUAGUUGGCGGGGUAAAGGCCCACCAAGGCGACGAUCCGUAGCUGGUCUGAGAGGAUGAUCAGCCACACUGGAACUGAGACACGGUCCAGACUCCUACGGGAGGCAGCAGUGGGGAAUAUUGGACAAUGGGCGCAAGCCUGAUCCAGCCAUACCGCGUGGGUGAAGAAGGCCUUCGGGUUGUAAAGCCCUUUUGUUGGGAAAGAAAAGCAGCAGGUUAAUACCCCGCUGUUCUGACGGUACCCAAAGAAUAAGCACCGGCUAACUUCGUG
rnacentral:rRNA from 1 species